rnacentral:snRNA from 1 species
AUGCUUGGUUGGCAGCACAUCUACUGAAACUGGAGGGAUACAAAGAAGAUUAUCAUAGCUCCUGCACAAGGAUGACAAGCAAAUUCAUCAAGCGUGGCGUAGUUGA